rnacentral:rRNA from 1 species
AAUACCCCAUAAAGAUAUUGAGAGGCAUCUUUUAAUAUUUAAAGUUUCGACGGUACGGGAUGGGCAUGCGUAACAUUAGCUAGUUGGUAGGGUAACGGCUUACCAAGGCGACGAUGUUUAGGGGUCCUGAGAGGGUGAUCCCCCACACUGGUACUGAGACACGGACCAGACUCCUACGGGAGGCAGCAGUGAGGAAUAUUGGUCAAUGGGCGCAAGCCUGAACCAGCCAUCCCGCGUGCAGGAAGAAGGCGCUAUGCGUCGUAAACUGCUUUUCCAGAGGAAGAAAACCCUCGACGUGUCGGGGCUUGCCGGUACUCUGGGAAUAAGCAUCGGCUAACUCCGUGCCAGCAGCCGCGGUAAUACGGAGGAUGCGAGCGUUUAUCCGGAUUUAUUUGGGUUUAAAGGGUGCGUAAGGCGGAUUAAUAAGUCAGUGGUGAAAACCUUCAGCUUAACUGGAGACUUGCCAUUGAUACUGUUAGUCUUGAGUACGG